GACGAACGCUGGCGGCGUGCCUAAUACAUGCAAGUAGAACGCUGAAGAGAGGAGCUUGCUCUUCUUGGAUGAGUUGCGAACGGGUGAGUAACGCGUAGGUAACCUGCCUUGUAGCGGGGGAUAACUAUUGGAAACGAUAGCUAAUACCGCAUAACAAUGGAUGACACAUGUCAUUUAUUUGAAAGGGGCAAUUGCUCCACUACAAGAUGGACCUGCGUUGUAUUAGCUAGUAGGUGAGGUAACGGCUCACCUAGGCGACGAUACAUAGCCGACCUGAGAGGGUGAUCGGCCACACUGGGACUGAGACACGGCCCAGACUCCUACGGGAGGCAGUAGUAGGGAAUCUUCGGCAAUGGGGGCAACCCUGACCGAGCAACGCCGCGUGAGUGAAGAAGGUUUUCGGAUCGUAAAGCUCUGUUGUAAGUCAAGAACGAGUGUGAGAGUGGAAAGUUCACACUGUGACGGUAGCUUACCAGAAAGGGACGGCUAACUACGUGCCAGCAGCCGCGGUAAUACGUAGGUCCCGAGCGUUGUCCGGAUUUAUUGGGCGUAAAGCGAGCGCAGCGGUUUGAUAAGUCUGAAGUUAAAGGCUGUGGCUCAACCAUAGUUCGCUUUGGAAACUGUCAAACUUGAGUGCAGAAGGGGAGAGUGGAAUUCCAUGUGUAGCGGUGAAAUGCGUAGAUAUAUGGAGGAACACCGGUGGCGAAAGCGGCUCUCUGGUCUGUAACUGACGCUGAGGCUCGAAAGCGUGGGGAGCGAACAGGAUUAGAUACCCUGGUAGUCCACGCCGUAAACGAUGAGUGCUAGGUGUUGGAUCCUUUCCGGGAUUCAGUGCCGCAGCUAACGCAUUAAGCACUCCGCCUGGGGAGUACGACCGCAAGGUUGAAACUCAAAGGAAUUGACGGGGGCCCGCACAAGCGGUGGAGCAUGUGGUUUAAUUCGAAGCAACGCGAAGAACCUUACCAGGUCUUGACAUCCCGAUGCUAUUUCUAGAGAUAGAAAGUUACUUCGGUACAUCGGUGACAGGUGGUGCAUGGUUGUCGUCAGCUCGUGUCGUGAGAUGUUGGGUUAAGUCCCGCAACGAGCGCAACCCCUAUUGUUAGUUGCCAUCAUUCAGUUGGGCACUCUAGCGAGACUGCCGGUAAUAAACCGGAGGAAGGUGGGGAUGACGUCAAAUCAUCAUGCCCCUUAUGACCUGGGCUACACACGUGCUACAAUGGUUGGUACAACGAGUUGCGAGUCGGUGACGGCAAGCUAAUCUCUUAAAGCCAAUCUCAGUUCGGAUUGUAGGCUGCAACUCGCCUACAUGAAGUCGGAAUCGCUAGUAAUCGCGGAUCAGCACGCCGCGGUGAAUACGUUCCCGGGCCU
rnacentral:rRNA from 1 species